rnacentral:lncRNA from 10 species
AUUAUAAGCGCCCACCACCACGCCCUGCUAAUUUUUGUAUUUUUAGUAGAGACGGGGUUUCACCAUGUUGGUCAGGCUGGUCUCAAACUCCUGACCUCGUGAUCUGCCCGUCUCGGCCUCCCAAAGUGCUGGGAUUACAGGCAUAAGCCAUCAUGCCCAGCCUUUUUUUUUGAGAUGGAGUCUUGCUCUGUUGAGCAGGCUGGAGUGUGGUGGCACGAUCUUAGCUCACUGAAAUCUCUGCCUCCCAGGUUCAAGUGAUUCUCCAGCCUCGGCCUCCUGAGUAGCUGGGACUACAGUUGCGCACCACUGGGUCCAGCUAAUUUUUGUAUUUUUAGUAGAGACGGGGUUUCACCAUAUUAGCCAAGCUGGUCUCUAACUCCUGACCUCAGGUGAUCAGCCUGCCUUGUCCUCCCAAAGUGCUGGGAUUACAGGCGUGAGCCACCGUGCCUGGCCUAAACACACUAUUUUCAUGGUCAUAUAGUACCCUCAGGGAAGGUUGGAGGAAAUAAUUGUUUUUUAAUUCGCGAAAAUUAUUACCGGCAUUAAGUCUAAAUAGGACUCCAAUUUUUUCUUCAAAGGUAUAGUCUGUUGCUUUAAUCUUGCCAGUUUCUGGGGGUAAAAGAACACAGUCACAGAGUAAUAGAAACAUUCACAAUGCAACUAAUACUGUCCAUUUCUGAAAUAAAACACAACAAAGCAUUAACAUUAGUAUAUUUUAAAUAACGUUAUCGAAUAAAAAGCUUCAAAGAUAGACAAACUCACUCCAAAUGGAAACAACACCUGUUAGAUGCUUAAAAUAGGAAAGUUAUAGUCUUAUUUAAUUAUUAUUAUUAUAAUUUUUUUUUGAGAUGGAGUCUUUCUGUGUUGCCCAGGCUGGAGUGCAGUGGUACAAUCAUGGCUUACGGUGGCCUCAAACUCCUCAGCUCAACCAAUCUUCCCACUUCAGCCUUCCAGGUAGCUGGGACCACAGGCGUGCACCACCAUGCCUGGCUAAUUUUUUUUUUUUUUUUUUUUGAGAUAGAGUCUUGCUCUGUCACCCAGGCUGGAGUGCAGUGGCACGAUCUCGGCCCACUGCAACCUCCGCCCCCUGAGUUCAAGUGAUUCUUCUUUCUCCUGCCUCAGCCUCCUGAGUAGCUGGGAUUACAGGCAUGUGCCACCAUGCCUGGCUAAUUUUUGUAUUUUUAGUAGAGAUGAGGUUUCGCCAUUUUGGCCAGGCUGGUCUCAAACUCUUGGGCUUAAGUAAUCUUCCUGCCUCUGCCUCCCAAAGUACUGGGAUUACAGGUGUGAGCCACCAUGCCUGGCCUUUGCUCCCAUUUAUUAACAAUAGGAUUGAAGUAUGCUGUCUUAGAAUAGAAAAGAAUGUGAUUAAGAGGAAUCAAAACAUAAAGGAGGCUGGGUGUGGUGGCUUACACUUCUAACCCCAGCACUUUGGGAGGCCAAGGUGGGAGGAUCACUUGAGCCCAGGAGUUUGAGACCAGCUUGGGCAACAUAGCAAGACCCCCAUCUCUAUUUAUAAAAACAAGGGGAAAAAAAUGUAAAGGGAGAACUAGAAUCCCAAAUACAUAUUUAUGAAUUGUCAACAUUAGAUUCCAAGAACAAAGUAUGAAAAACGUUAAGAAUAAUAAAACAAAACAAAACCCUCUAUUUCUCUCUUCCCACCAAAACAGGUAAAACCUUUAUAUAACCUAAAAUCCCAGAAUUGCAUUUGGUAACUACAGGAGUUUGGAGACCUGCAUUUUACUGUCUACUGAAAGAGAAGAAAGGGGAGCACCUAGAUGAUUAGCUCAUGGUCCUUCAAUAAAUUUGUUUAAUAAAUACAUCAAUAAUACAUAAGUGACUCCAGCGGAGUUUCUAACUUAUAAUAAAAAGGAAACCAUGCAAAUGUGAGGGCAUAUACAGCUAAACAAGGAAUAAAAGAUAUAAAUACCAGUGAAUAUAAAGUACAAAGGUAAAGGAAAAGAAAUCAGGUCCACAGUGAAUAAAAGCCGAAUAAAAAGAAACAAAUGAAAAAGCAGACUGUGGAGUAAAAUUUUAAAGAAAGUUAAAUUAGGUUAAAAUAAGCUCACCUCUGAUAGUGCUACUAAGGACUGAUGAGACAGAGAAGCAUCCAUGCCUCUGGCUGAAAGUUGCUCCUACAAUUACCAAAAAAAGGAGUUCAGUUAAAAAAUUAUUUGAAAAGUGACCACCAUCAAAUAUUUUUCUUUUUCUUCUUUUUUUUUUGAGACCGAGUCUUGCUCUGUCACCCAGGCUGGAGUGCAGUGGCGCGAUCUCGGCUCUCUGCAAACUCCGCCUCCCGGGUUCAUGUCAUUCUCCUGCCUCAGCCUCCUGAGUAGCUGGGACUACAGGCGCCCACCACCACGCCCGGCUAAUUUUUUAUAUUUUUAGUAGAGACGGGGUUUCACUGUGUUAGUCAGGAUGGUCUCGAUCUCCUGACCUCAUGAUCCGCCCACCUUGGCCUCCCAAAGUGCUGGAUUACAGGCGUGAGCCACCGUGCCCAGCCCAUCAAAUAUUUUUAACAUAUAACACAGUAAAGAGGAGCUACAAGUAUAAAUGAAAAACUGUACAUGUAUCUAAGCAUUUGUACGUUACAUGUGAAUCCUUUCCACACUCACGCAUUUGUGACAAGAUGGGUGCAGUGUGUAAGGCCUGAGUUUCAGAGCCUGGAUGCCUGAGUUUGAAUCUAGAUCUGCUUACUGUAAUAGCUAUGUAAUCUUGGGCAACUUACCAACUUCUCUAUAGUCCUCUCAUCUGUAAAAAGGGAAUAAUAAUGCCUAGCUGUGAGGAUGAUGGUAAAAAAUCAGGCCGAAGAGAGCUAACUAUAUUCGGUCCUUCAUACAAACCUCUGCAGCCUUGAUUCCAAAUCUGAAUUCCUCUGACUUUGCUUUUAGAAAGUCCAUGUUCUGACGACGAUUAUCAACUUUGGCCCUUUCUGUAGACAGAUGCAACUCUGCUUUCUUGACAUCCCUUUAAAAAGCAAAAUUAAAAACAUUUUCUUCUUCUUCUUCUCAGUAAAAGUAUUGUACAAUAGAAACUCUACUACUUUUGGAUUCAAUGCUGGCUUGGCCAAGAGUUGGUAACCAGGUCAUCUUCCCCUCCAUGUUGCACUCUGGGUUUUUUUUUUUUUUAAGAGAUGAGGUCUUGGUCUGUCACCCAGGCUUGAAUGCAGUGGUGUGAUCACUGCAGCCUCAAGCUCCUUGGCUGAAGUGAUCCUCCCACUUCAGCCUCCCAAAUAGCCAGGGCUACAGACACAUGCCACUAUGCCUGGCUAAUUUUUAAAUCUUUUGUAGAUGGCCAGGCACAGUGGCUUACACCUAUAAUCCCAGCAUUUUGGGAGGCCAAGGUGGGCAGAUCACCUGAGGUCAGGAGUUCGAGACCAGCCUGGCCAACAUGGUGAAACCCUGUCUUUACUAAAAAUACAAAAAUUAGCCAGGCAUGGUGGCAUGCGCCCAUAAUCCUGGCUACUCAGGAGGCUGAGGCAGGAGAAUCACUUGAACCUGGGAGGCAGAGGUUGCAAUGAGCUGAGAUUGUACCACUGCACUCCAGUGUGGGUGGCAGAGUAAGACUCCAUCUCAAAUAAAAAAAAAUAAUAAAAUAAAUAAUUUUUUUGUAGAGACAGUCUCACUAUGCUGCCCAGGUUUACAACAAUUUUACAAUUAAUGUAAGCCAAUUAUUCUUGAAGAAAGUAAAUCAGCCAUUCAAAAAAAAAUUGGUGCUCACUUUGGCAGCUCAUAUACUAAAAUUAGAACGACACAGAGAAAAUUAGAGUGGCCUCUACUCAAGGAAGAUGGGUAAAUUUGUGAAGUGUUCCACAUUUUGUUUUGUGGCUUAUCUAGAAAUAAUAUGGAAAAUAUUGCUGUUAUUUUUGGCAAAGAAAGUCAAUUUUGUAUAGUUUAUUUCAACCUAAAUAAACUGUGAAUUUUGUUUAAAAAAUAAUAAUAAUAAUAAUAAUUUAACAUAUCUGAAGCCAAUUUGAAAUAGGAGGUCCUAAAUACCUCUGUACUAAAUGUGACAUGAAGUUCGAGACCAGCCUGGCCAACAUGGUGAAACCCCGUCUCUGCUAAAAAUACAAAGAAAUUAGCUGGGUGUGGUGGCAGGUGCCUGUAAUCCCAGCUACUUGAAAGGCUGAGGCAGGAGAAUCACUUGAACCCGGGAAGCGGAGGGUACAGUGAGCUGAGAUCGCGCCAUUGCACUCUAGCCUGGGUGACAAGAGAGAAACUCUGUCUCAACAAAAUAAAUAAAUAAAAUAAGUAAAUAAAUAAAUAAAAAUAAACGUGACAUGACAGUGCCUUGCACAUAUGUAGUCAUUUGUUGAAUAAAUUUACAUACCGUCAAAUUACUUGUGCAUAUAUACACAUACUCCUGAUCUAUAGGCCCUAAUCUCUGGGGCAAAAAGGAACAGAAAAAGGCCUAAAGUAUCAUAAGAGGGAUACCCUAGCUAUAGCAAGAAUGCACAACAAAACAUAAUGUGACUUUAAGUAUAAGAAAAAUCACAUACAUUUUGAAAAUUCUAAAACCCAUAUUAUUUGUUUUUAAGAAAAGGCAGGAGGCUGGGUGCGGUGGCUCAUGCCUGUAAUCCUAGCAUUUUGGGAAGCCAAGGCAGGUGGACCACUUGAGGUCAGGAGUUCGAGACCAGCCUGGCCAAUAUGGUGAAACCCUGUCUCUACUGAAAACACAAAAAUCAGCUGGGCAUGGUGGUGCACACCUGUAGUCCCAGCUACUGGGGAGGCUGAGGCAGGAAACUCGCUUGAACCCGGGAAGUGGAGGUUGCAGUGAGCCAAGACUGCACCAUUGCACUCCAGCCUGGGUGUCUCAGCGAGACUCCAUCUCAAAAAGAAAAAAAAAUAAGGUAAGAAAUUGUAUGAAGUAAAAUUGUAUGAAGUAAAAGCUGAAAAAGUCAGGCCGGGCGCAGUGGCUCACGCCUGUAAUCCCAGCACUUUGGGAGGCCGAGGCGGGCGGAUCACCUGAGGUCGGGAGUUCGAGACCAGCCUGACCAACAUGGAGAAACCCCGUCUCUACUAAAAAUACAAAAUUAGCUGGGCAUGGUGGCUCAUGCCUGUAAUCCCAGCUACUCGGGAGGCUGAGGCGGGAGAAUUGCUUGAACCCAGGAGGUGGAGGUUGCAGUGAGCUGAGAUCGUGCCACUGUACUCCAGCCUGGGUGACAGAGUGAGACUCCGUUUCAAAAAAAAAAAAAGCUGGAAAAGUCUAUAUCCAACCAUCUCCAGCUCCACUAAUCAUUCAACUUAAAAAAAUGUUUUAUGGAUCCCAUUUCCUAAUGUUUUUAAAAUCACACCUACUGCCAAAACUAAAUUUGACAAUGUCCUAUUACUCCCUUAUUUAUAAAUUGUCACCACUCUGAACUCAAUUACUUACUCUUGUAGACAUUUUUCUAAUACUAAAGUUGCAGUUAAAUUUUUUUCAAGUUUUUCCAGUUCAAUCUUGAUUUCUUCACUUUUGGAUUUGGUACGAAAGAGAUCAGAGGUCAAAUCAUUCACUGCAGGGAUAAAACUAAAAGAAGAAUCUGGUCAUAUACAUGGGCUUAAUGGGCAAUAAUUAUAAUUACUCCUCAUUGCUAAAAAUGACUUUAUUGCCCUGUAGAUUUUUAUAUAACCAUGCUGUUCAUACCUUUAUGCCUUUUUUUACACACUGUUCCCAUUGCCUGGAAUGCCCUUCUUCAUUCGGCAAAGUUCCAUUUGUUCCUUCAAAACUCAGAUGAGCGUCCCUGUCAUCCUGGCAUUAACUACCUCCUUCUCUGUGCUACCCAGCUAUACCUUGUACAUACUUUUACUGUUACAGCUGUCACACUAUGUUAUAGUCACAUUUCUAUCUCCCUUAUUUGACUGUAAGCAGAGACUGUUCUUUAAGGAAGUUACUAUCGUAUUCAUCUCGCUUCCCCAGUUAUAACAGAGCUAUAGUAAGAAGGCACAAAACAUAAUGUGACUUUAAGUUGUAUGAUAGUAUGUAAGUAUAAAAAAAAAGUUUAAAAAAUUCUAAAAUACACAUUAUUUGUAAAAAAAAAAGGCAAGAAAUUAUAUGAUUCAUCCCUGCUUCCCCAGUGCUUAUACAACUAACAUACAACUGGUAUUUGUUAUCUGCUGAACUUAUUUAAUUCAAGUCUAGAUUUCUGCUGCCAUACAGUAGGGAUGCUCUUAUACCUAAAACACUACUCUUUGAGCUUAUACAUAAAUUGCCUUUAAAUUGACAGGUAAGCUGUUCUGCUGUGUUGUUCUCUGAUUAUGAUAAGUUGUAUUAAUAUUCGUAGUUCUACCGGGCGCAGUGGCUCACGCCUGUAAUCCCAGCACUUUGGGAGGCAGAGGUGGGUAGAUCACAAGGUCAGGAGUUUGAGACCAGCCUGGCCAGCAUGGUGAAACCCUGUCUCUACUAAAAAUACAAAAAAAAUUAGCCAGGCAUGGUGGCAGGCGCCUGUAAUCCCAGCUAUUUGGGAGGCUGAGGUAGGAGAAUCGCUUUACCCCGGGAGGCGGAGGUUGUAGGGAGCCGAGAUCACGCCACUGCACUCCAGCCUGGGUGACAGAAUGAGACUCUGUCUCAAAAACAAAAACUAAAACAAAAUAUUAGUAGUCCUAGCUAAGAUAUGGCCAAAAGUGGUAGUCAUAUGAACUUUAUAAGACUGGUUUUGAAUCUCAGCUCUGCCAUUUAGUAGCUCGGAUAAAUUAUUUAACCCACACCUCCUGAUUCCUCUAAAGGUUGUUGGAAGAAUCAUGUUAUUAUAUAAGUAAAAUGCCUGUUAAAAAGAAUGAAAAUUCCUGACCUACUUAACAAAAAGGUAGACAUAACCAAAAUUUAUUAUGCUCAACCAAAUCAUUUAGCCUACUAUCUUUCUUAUUAUACACAGGGAACAAUGUGAUACUAACCCCUUUCCAAAUAUACAUGAGAACCACCCUUCAUAAAUCUAAUCCUGGAAGAAGAAAACACUAAAAAUUAACCAAUACCAUAUUUAUCCAAAUUAAUUAUACUCACUGGCAAAGACAUGAAGUAACUAAAUUCAGUGCUUUGUAUUUAUUGCCAAUUUUUCAUAUAGAAUUAUGCUGAGAACAAAAAG